UGUGGUGAUGACAACCUUUUUAUGCUUGAAUACUAUGAGAGCAUAAGAUUUCUCAAAGACUACAACGGUAUCUGAGC
rnacentral:ncRNA from 21 species